GUAAUGCCGGAUGCUCCGACUCCUCGCAUGGGGUGUCGGGAAAGAUUUCAUCGGUAUGGGAUGGGGUCGCGUCCUAUCAGGUAGUCGGCGGGGUAACGGCCCACCGAGCCUACGACGGGUAGCCGGCCUGAGAGGGCGACCGGCCACAUUGGGACUGAGAUACGGCCCAGACUCCUACGGGAGGCAGCAGUGGGGAAUAUUGCACAAUGGGCGCAAGCCUGAUGCAGCGACGCCGCGUGCGGGAUGACGGCCUUCGGGUUGUAAACCGCUUUUGAUCGGGAGCAAGCCUUCGGGUGAGUGUACCUUUCGAAUAAGCACCGGCUAACUACGUGCCAGCAGCCGCGGUAAUACGUAGGGUGCAAGCGUUAUCCGGAAUUAUUGGGCGUAAAGGGCUCGUAGGCGGUUCGUCGCGUCCGGUGUGAAAGUCCAUCGCUUAACGGUGGAUCUGCGCCGGGUACGGGCGGGCUGGAGUGCGGUAGGGGAGACUGGAAUUCCCGGUGUAACGGUGGAAUGUGUAGAUAUCGG
rnacentral:rRNA from 1 species